UACGUAGGGUGCGAGCGUUGUCCGGAGUUAUUGGGCGUAAAGGGCUCGUAGGCGGUCUGUCGCGUCGGGAGUGAAAACUCAGGGCUUAACCCUGAGCCUGCUUCCGAUACGGGCAGACUAGAGGUAUGCAGGGGAGAACGGAAUUCCUGGUGUAGCGGUGAAAUGCGCAGAUAUCAGGAGGAACACCGGUGGCGAAGGCGGUUCUCUGGGCAUUACCUGACGCUGAGGAGCGAAAGCGUGGGUAGCAAACAGG
rnacentral:rRNA from 1 species